AGAGUUUGAUCCUGGCUCAGGAUGAACGCCGGCGGUGUGCCUAAUACAUGCAAGUCGAACGCGUUGGCCCAACUGAUUGAACGUGCUUGCACGGACUUGACGUUGGUUUACCAGCGAGUGGCGGACGGGUGAGUAACACGUAGGUAACCUGCCCCAAAGCGGGGGAUAACAUUUGGAAACAGAUGCUAAUACCGCAUAACAAUUUGAACCGCAUGAUUCAAAUUUAAAAGAUGGUUUCGGCUAUCACUUUGGGAUGGACCUGCGGCGCAUUAGCUUGUUGGUAGGGUAACGGCCUACCAAGGCUGUGAUGCGUAGCCGAGUUGAGAGACUGAUCGGCCACAAUGGAACUGAGACACGGUCCAUACUCCUACGGGAGGCAGCAGUAGGGAAUCUUCCACAAUGGGCGCAAGCCUGAUGGAGCAACACCGCGUGAGUGAAGAAGGGUUUCGGCUCGUAAAGCUCUGUUGUUAGAGAAGAACGUGCGUGAGAGCAACUGUUCACGCAGUGACGGUAUCUAACCAGAAAGUCACGGCUAACUACGUGCCAGCAGCCGCGGUAAUACGUAGGUGGCAAGCGUUAUCCGGAUUUAUUGGGCGUAAAGCGAGCGCAGGCGGUUUGAUAAGUCUGAUGUGAAAGCCUUUGGCUUAACCAAAGAAGUGCAUCGGAAACUGUCAGACUUGAGUGCAGAAGAGGACAGUGGAACUCCAUGUGUAGCGGUGGAAUGCGUAGAUAUAUGGAAGAACACCAGUGGCGAAGGCGGCUGUCUGGUCUGCAACUGACGCUGAGGCUCGAAAGCAUGGGUAGCGAACAGGAUUAGAUACCCUGGUAGUCCAUGCCGUAAACGAUGAGUGCUAGGUGUUGGAGGGUUUCCGCCCUUCAGUGCCGCAGCU
rnacentral:rRNA from 1 species